GCGGAGGGCUGGAUGGCCGCGGCGGGCAACCGUCGAGGAAAGUCCGGACUCCACAAGGCAAGGGUGCCGGGUAACGCCCGGCGGGGGUAACCCCAGGGAAAGCGCCACAGAAAACAAACCGCCCAUGCGUGCAUGGGUUAGGGUGAAACGGUGAGGUAAGAGCUCACCGCGGGACUGGCAACAGGACCGGCACGGCAAGCCCCACCCGGAGCAAUGCCGAAUAGGGGCCUCGCGCGGGGUUGAUCGGGUCCGCCCGAUAUCGCCGCACGGUACGCUUUGACCCAGAGGCCCGGGUUGGCAGCUAUAGGUGCGUUGGCAACAGCGUGCUCAGAUGAAUGGUCAUCCAGAGGGGGUAACCCUUGGACAGAAUCCGGCUUACAGGCCCUCCGCGCGU
rnacentral:RNase_P_RNA from 1 species